CCUUGACAAUUGUAAUUAACUAUACAGGAGUACAUGUUGAGGGCAGAGUUUAGACUUCCAAGUAUAACUGCUGAAGAAGCAGUUCCUGAGAGAAAGGCUCCUAUCCGUGUGAAGUUUGAAAUACCAUAUUUUACUGUCUCAGGGAUACAGGUCCGAUAUCUAAAGAUCAUUGAGAAAAGUGGAUAUCAGGCUCUUCCGUGGGUGAGAUACAUUACGAUGGCUGGUGAAUAUGAAUUAAGACUAAUGUAACUAAACUAUGUUGUGUGAUUCAAUCAAGUAAAUAUAAAAUAUGGCUUGGACACCCUGAAGAUUGAUGAUGUUCCUUUUGAAUUCGUUCUUCCCUAUUUUAGAGGUUUUGGUCUUACAGGCAAGGUUAUUGUUUUCCCAAAAACUGCAUAGGUUUUGCUUAAAUGGGACAAUUUUCUCGAGUAA